CCUAAUGUACAGCAGAGCGGCACUCACUUGCCCGCUUUUUUAUAACUGGAUCUAUAUUGCUUUUUUUGUUUCAUUAGAAAUUGUUGUGGCAUCAAAUGAAAUUUGGCACGAUAUAAGUGUUUAUCUAAAUGGCGUCGUUAGUAAGAAUGCUAUACAUGUGUUCGUGCAUCGCGAUCGUCAUAACGUGAAAGCAGCUUUAGGUUUUCAAAAAGAGCAAACAUUUGACUUUCACAGUAUUUCGAAAAAUGUCAAUAUGGAAAGCUUCAAUGAACGGGAUGAUUCAAACUUAAUAGAUGAAUCUAGUGAUUAUAGCAGUGAUGAUACACUAAAUAAAUUACCAACUAAAUGUUUUACAUUUACUUUUUCAACCGACGAAUGGAAACAGAUACAGCCCCAGGAAGUAGUUUACAAGAUGAAUGAUCGUAUGAAUAAAAAAAAUAGUACUCGAUCCUACUAUAUUCUUCCGAAAGGAUCAUGGACAUCUUUACUAGCAGAAUUUUUUUGGGAACAUACGAAAUUACCUUGUUGUAUAGCGUUCAAAAGAGCAAAAGUAUAUGAAUUUGGAAAUUAUUAUAUAACUGUAGAUGGUAGAUGUUCCGUAUGUAGAUCAAUUUUUAAAGGAAUUGUUUCAGACAAACCAUCUGAAAAUUCAAGGUAGUUUUUUAUUUUAAAUAUUUCUAUUGAACAAUUACUUAUUUCAUUAAAUACAUUUUCAUCAUAUCAAGGGUUAUUAUGCAAUGUACGUUUUCUGGAAACUUUGAACUAGAACACAGGAAGUUAAAAAAACGUCGAUUAAUAGGCCCUGCUAUAGAUAAAGCAUUGAUGUCAAUAGUUGACGAUAAAAUUUCCUGUGAAACAUACAGAGAGAAUGAAGCAGUGCGCCUGAUGAAUAUAGGAGAUCCAGAUCCACCAAUUAUACCUUCUGGAAAUACAUUACGAGCAUUAAAAUCAAGAAAAAUUGCUUCUACAAAACGACAUAAUGAUACAAUUACAUCUUUGGUUAUAAUGAAAUCGGAAAAUGAUUAUAAAAACAUCUUACAUGACAUGGGGAGUCAUCCGUUUUUUAUUCAUUAUCAUAGCGGAGAACAAAUUCACAUGUAUAGAAAAUAUUGUAGUAGUAAUCCCUAUCCAAAACUAAUAGUAGAUGCUACAGGUUCUAUUAUAAAAAACUUUUAUAAAUUCAAUUUAGAAAA